rnacentral:rRNA from 1 species
GUCUGUUUGGAGAUAUAAAAAGUCUGGCCUGCCCACUGAUAAUUUUUUAAAGGGCCGCGGUAAUUUGACCGUGCAAAGGUAGCAUAAUCGUUAGUUUUUUAAUUGGAAUCUUGUAUGAAUGGUUGAACAAAAGAAUGACUGUCUCUAUAUUUUUUUUGAAUUUAACUUUCAAGUGAAAAGGCUUGAAUGUUUUAAAAAGACGAUAAGACCCUGUAAAGCUUGAUAGGUUUUAUUAUUUAAUUAAAUUAGUAGAUAUAAAAAGUUUAAUAAGAGUAACCUAUUUUAUUGGGGCGAUAAUGAUAAAAUGUAUUUAACUGUUAAUAAAGAAAGACAAAAUUUAGUGUGUAAACGUAAAUAAAUGAUCCUUAGAUUAAGAUUAAGAGUUUAAGUUACUUCAGGGAUAACAGCGUUAUUUUUCUUGAGAGUUCAUAUCGAAAGAAAAGUUUGCGACCUCGAUGUUGAAUUAAAAUUUCUAUAUAAUUGCAGAAGUUAUAUUAGAGGGUCUGUUCGACCUUUAAAUUUUUACAUGAUUUGAGUUCAGACCGGCGUAAG